rnacentral:piRNA from 1 species
UCUCUGAAUGAUACUCGAGUAAGAGAGGCAC